UGAGGAAUAUUGGUCAAUGGGCGAGAGCCUGAACCAGCCAAGUAGCGUGAAGGAUGACUGCCCUAUGGGUUGUAAACUUCUUUUAUAAAGGAAUAAAGUCGGGUAUGGAUACCCGUUUGCAUGUACUUUANGAAUAAGGAUCGGCUAACUCCGUGCCAGCAGCCGCGUAAUCUGACUCU
rnacentral:rRNA from 1 species